AAACAAUAUUUUGCAAUAUUAUCUGUAUUGUGAUGUUAAAAUACUUGUGAUUAUUAUAGGUAACAAAGUCACAGGUACUGUUACCACUACUGAAGUGUGAAGCCUACAGUCAUAAUUGAAGAAAAGGCACAAUUUCAGUUAGAGGUGAAGUCUCGCUCUGUCGCUUAGGCUGGAGUGCAGUGGUGCCAUCUCAGCUCACUGUAACCUCUGCCUCCCAGGUUCAAGUGACUCUCCUGCGUCAGCCUCCUAAGUAGCUGGGAUUACAGGGUCUCACUCUGUCACUCAGGCUGGAGUGCAGUGGUAUGAUCACAGCUCACUGCAGCCUCGACCUCCCAGGCUCAAGCAAUCCUCCUACCUCAGCCUCCUAGGACUACAGAUGAGUAAACUGAAACACAGAGAAGCCAAGUGACUGUCUUUAUCCAGUGAAGAAGUGGUGUGCAGGAAUUCGGACCGGACAGUGUGACUCCAGGAUCUAUGCUGUUUAUCUCCAUGCCAGUCUGCCCAUUCUCCUGUGCCCUUCUCAUUUGAGAAGUUGCUGCUUGCUGCCCAGCUUACAGUUCAGGUUGCCAGGGUGGGAGCAAUAUUUUUCAUAGCACUUAGUCCAACCCUCUUGUUACAGCUGAUUGGGUGACAGGUAGAUAGAUCCCUGAUCAAUGGUAGUCUAUGGCUAUUCUGCAAUCUGUCACUCAGGUGGGCUCUCACUCUGUGGUAUUUAAAUGAAGCAACUUGGAAAUAAUUUGCUAGCUGUUAAGGAACAGGAAAAAGUGGAUGGGUGGCCUGUAGAUGAGUCAUGUUUAGAGUGACUUAUCAGUAAUAAAGGUAUUAGUGCUUCGCUACUUGAGUGUCUAGAGUACCUUCAAUUCAGAUCCACUCUCCCACUCAUUUAUCUGGGAUUCCCAAGCCUAUUAUGGC
rnacentral:lncRNA from 1 species